GAGUUUGAUCCUGGUUCAGGAUGAACGCUAGCGAUAGGCCUAACACAUGCAAGUCGAGGGGCAUCACAUGAAGCAGCAAUGCGGAUGGUGGCGACCGGCGCACGGGUGAGUAACACGUAUGCAACCUGCCUACAACAGGGGGAUAACCCGUUGGAAGACGGACUAAUACCCCAUAAUACAGGGGUCCCGCAUGGGAAUAUUUGUUAAAGAUUAAUCGGUUGUAGAUGGGCAUGCGUUCCAUUAGCUAGUUGGUGAGGUAACGGCCCACCAAGGCAACGAUGGAUAGGGGAACUGAGAGGUUUAUCCCCCACACUGGUACUGAGACACGGACCAGACUCCUACGGGAGGCAGCAGUGAGGAAUAUUGGUCAAUGGACGCAAGUCUGAACCAGCCACGUCGCGUGAAGGAAGACGCCCUACGGGUUGUAAACUUCUUUUGUAAGGGAAUAAAGUGUAGUACCGUGUACUAUUUUGCAUGUACCUUACGAAUAAGGAUCGGCUAACUCCGUGCCAGCAGCCCGCGGUAAUACGGAGGAUCCGAGCGUUAUUCCGGAUUUAUUGGGUUUAAAGGGUGCGCAGGCGG
rnacentral:rRNA from 1 species